CAAUAGCGUAUAUUAAUGUUGUUGCGGUUGAAACGUUCCUAGUCGAAUUUCUGUUUUAUAUGACCGGUCCUUCGCUUCCUUCCUUGAGUUGGUUGUGUUGGUGCCAGGUUUAUAUAAAACAUAUCUUUCAGAGCCUCUUUUGAGCGCACUGAACUGUUACUUUGAGGAAAUUAGAGUGUUUCAAGCAGGCAUUUGCCCUGAAUACGCUAGCAUGGAAUAACAAGAUAGGACUUUGGUCCAACUUGUUGGUUCUUGGACUAAAGUAAUGAUUGAUAGGAACAGUCGGGGGCAUUCGUAUUUGGCUGUCAGAGGUGAAAUUCUUGGAUUUGUCAAAGACGAACUACUGCGAAAGCAUUUGCCAAGGAUGUUUUCUUUGA
rnacentral:rRNA from 1 species